UGUACAUGCGGUCUAAUCACAGAAAUGCUGCUGUCGCCCUCUUUUAGCUUCAUUUCCACAUGAAUGAGCCUGACGCAGGGACACACUUUGAUCCAUCAAUGGAUCGGUUUUGGUUUCUGCUCUUUCAUUGAUGAUAAAAUCGCUGCAGAUGUUUUAGACACAAUAGAAAGAUAAACGCAUCUCCGUCGGUGGUGGAACUGAUUCAGAUCCUGGAAAAGAUCCAAGAUCCGAGAAAAGUCUCGCGUUACAAACUGCACGAUGUACGAAGUCUCUCUAUCAGCUGUUUGUCGACAGAUGCAGAUCCUGAACGUCUGGAGGAAUAAACACCCGGAGCCGCUUCAGAUUCUGUUGUGACCCGGAGCUGUUUACAAACGGGACGACAGCUCAGAGAUUAAAAGUAACCCUGAUCCGAGGAGGUGAUCUCCAUUGUCAGGUGUUCAUGUUUUAACUUUACUUCAUGAACGUUACGUUAUGGAGAGGAGACAGAGAACCAGAGUCUCUGCUGAGUGCUGAGUUCAGUCAGAGGUUCAGCUGACUCUCCUCACAGGGGAUGAACGGACAUUAAACAUCCUGCACUGCUGAUGAAAAUGUCUCCGACGCCACUCGUCUCAAAUGUUCAGGUCUGGAAACGAGACGCUGGAAUAUGAACGCUCGCAUGUUGAGAAAAACCUCCAAAGUGUUUCCACGAGAAGGCCUCGAAAGCAGCGGUGAAAGCAGCUUUCAGAGGAAGAGAGUAAUGACCAGGCAACGAGCCACGAGGGACUUCAGAGUGCCCCUUUAACUAUGCUUCUCUAGCCUCUCUAGACCUGGACGCAGAUCUCUGCAGCGGGUGAGGACUCCACCUGCAUCCACCAGAUCUUCACCUCUGAACUGACUGGGACCAGAACUCUGUCAGCUGG